GGGGCUAUAGUUUAAUUGGUAAAAUACGUACUUUGCACGUGCAGGAUUCAGGUUCAAUUCCUGAUGGCUCCA
rnacentral:tRNA from 1 species